UACAGAGGUCUCAAGCGUUGUUCGGAUUCAUUGGGCGUAAAGGGUGUGUAGGUGGCGCCGUAAGUCGGGUGUGAAAUCUUGGAGCUUAACUCCGAAACUGCAUUCGAUACUGCCGUGCUUGAGGACUGGAGAGGAGACUGGAAUUUACGGUGUAGCGGUGAAAUGCGUAGAUAUCGUAAGGAAGACCAGUGGCGAAGGCGGGUCUCUGGACAGUUCCUGACGCUGAGGCACGAAGGCCAGGGGGAGCAAAACGGGG
rnacentral:rRNA from 1 species